rnacentral:ncRNA from 1 species
GCAACCUCAAGCUGGCGCAUGAAGGCCUGGCCGUGUUCCGGUCCCUCUUGGGCAUCUCGUGGAUGUGGUUCUUCGGCGCGGUGUUCCUCAGCAACUUCCCGGCCUUCGCCAAGGAAGUGCUG